GAUGAACGCUGGCGGCGUGCCUAAUACAUGCAAGUCGAGCGAACAGACGAGGAGCUUGCUCCUCUGACGUUAGCGGCGGACGGGUGAGUAACACGUGGAUACCCUACCUAUAAGACUGGGAUAACUUCGGGAAACCGGAGCUAAUACCGGAUAAUAUAUUGAACCGCAUGGUUCAAUAGUGAAAGACGGUUUUGCUGUCACUUAUAGAUGGAUCCGCGCCGCAUUAGCUAGUUGGUAAGGUAACGGCUUACCAAGGCGACGAUGCGUAGCCGACCUGAGAGGGUGAUCGGCCACACUGGAACUGAGACACGGUCCAGACUCCUACGGGAGGCAGCAGUAGGGAAUCUUCCGCAAUGGGCGAAAGCCUGACGGAGCAACGCCGCGUGAGUGAUGAAGGUCUUCGGAUCGUAAAACUCUGCUAUUAGGGAAGAACAAAUGUGUAAGUAACUAUGCACGUCUUGACGGUACCUAAUCAGAAAGCCACGGCUAACUACGUG
rnacentral:rRNA from 1 species